rnacentral:tRNA from 1 species
CCCUGCCAACCGGUAGAGCGCUUGACUGUUAAUCAAGAUGUCACUGGUUCAAGUCCAGUAGGGGGAGCCA